AUUAGAGUUUGAUCCUGGCUCAGAGUGAACGCUGGCGGCGUGCCUAACACAUGCAAGUCGAGCGAAUUUUGGCAGCACAUCGCCAAAGUUAGCGGCAGACGGGUGAGUAAUUCUUGGGCAAUCUGCCCUUUAGAGGGAAACAACCGGCCGAAAGGCUGGCUAAUGUCCCGUAAGACCACGGAAUGGCAUCAUUCAGAGGUUAAAGCUCCGCAAGGGGCGCUAGAGGAGGAGCCCAAGGCCUAUCAUGGUAGUUGGUGGGGUAACGGCCCACCAAGCCUUUGACGGGUAGCCGGCCUGAAAGGGUGAUCGGCCACACUGGCACUGAGACACGGGCCAGACUCCUACGGGAGGCAGCAGUGGGGAAUUUUGGACAAUGGGGGCAACCCUGAUCCAGCGACGCCGCGUGGAGGACGAAGGUCUUCGGAUUGUAAACUCCUUUUGAGGGGGAAGAAUGCCCUGGUGAAAAGCCAGGGGUGACGGUACUCCUCGAAUAAGCCACGGCUAACUACGUGCCAGCAGCCGCGGUAAUACGUAGGUGGCAAGCGUUACUCGGAAUCACUAGGCGUAAAGCGCAGGUAGGCGGUUUGAUAAGUCUGUUGUGAAAGCUCCCGGCUCAACUGGGAGAGGCCAACGGAAACUGUCAGGCUUGAGUGUGGUAGAGGAAACUGGAAUUCCUGGUGUAGCGGUGAAAUGCGUAGAUAUCAGGAGGAACACCUAUGGCGAAAGCAGGUUUCUGGGCCAUCACUGACGCUGAGCUGCGAAAGCUAGGGGAGCAAACAGGAUUAGAUACCCUGGUAGUCCUAGCCCUAAACUAUGUUCACUAGGUGUGAGAGGUAUCGACCCCUUUCGCGCCGUAGCUAACGCAUUAAGUGAACCGCCUGGGGAGUACGGCCGCAAGGUUGAAA
rnacentral:rRNA from 1 species